UGUCUGCCGUCAAUCAUUUUUCGAUUAUCAGAUCUAUAUCCGACGCACAAAAGCGAGCCACUUCAUAUCUGCAAAAGAAAGCUUAUUCUCUACGUCCCGCUCCAUUCAUCCCGGCCUUAUCCAACCAGACAACCAGAAGUACCGCUCCACACGCCGCCGGCGCUGGUCGCUCCAAACGCCUCUCCCGACUCCACUCUGGCUCAGCAGCCCCACCUCUACCGCCAGACCUCCCCCUCCGACGCCGACAUCAGCAAGUACGCCGCCGGCGCGGCCCGUCCCCCAAGUCCACGACGCCUGUUGUUGCCUCCUCUUCUGAUGCAGCAGCCCCGCUGCCCACCACCUCCUCCUCCCCAACAUCUCCUCCUCCCCCUACCCCGUCUCCAUCAAUGUCCACGCCGGCAAGUACGCCGUCGGAGCUGUCCUUCCCCCGAGUGCGCAACGCCUCUCCCGCAUCCUCCUCUGAUGCAGAAGCCCCAUCACCACCCCCUCCUCCUCGCUGUCUCCACCAUCGCCGACCUUCGCGUAUGCCGGCUACGCGCUACACAUCCUCGGCGGCCGCGCCGACGUGCUCCACGUUCUUCCACUUCGCGUACGAGCUGCUCCCCGAGGACCUCUUUGUCGUCUGCUGCAAUUGAAGCGCCACGAGUCGGUCCGUCUCGGAGAUGGCUGGUCUGGUCUCUGGUGUGAUCUGUGAUGUUGACGUGGAGGAACUAUGCUCUGCUAUUGCCAUCUACUAAUAAUAUUCUUUGUCAAGGACCAAGAAUCUUGAUUGAUGUAAGAAAGUUACAAGAGGGCCGGUGCAUUUUUUUGUGUGUGUAUAUGCACAUGUACGCUCGCUACUUCUAUAUGCACAUGAUUCCAAAGCAUCUCUUACUAUACAUUUUGCUUUGUUUAUACACUACAAGCUCAGUUUUUUCCUUUUUCUGAAUGUAACACAGGCAAUUAUGUAUGCAGUAGUGAUUAUAUGAUGUCCUUUAUAUAAAAUCGCAUGACUUCGUCAGGCAUAUGCACAUAUAUACUCAGUAUCAGCUCCAACUACACUUGGAUUUUGGUUCUCACCAAAUCACUGAAAUAUUUGAAAAUUGAUGAUUUACAUGGCAGGUCCAAAAGAUGUUCGAUAAGCUUAGGAGUUUCCCGGAGAAACCCUUGGAUUUAGGUCUGAAGCUGAAGAACUACAAGGUCAAAGAGGCAGCAAGUCUUACGCCCCAAAUGUUAUAGCCCUCGUGCCAACAAAGUGCUAAAGGAAAACAAAAAGGUUGGUCUCCUACUUUACCGCCUGGCAAAACAAUCUGCUUUCAUAUUUCUUAGUUUGUACCUGACCAUUUAUGUCCAACUUGCAAUGAGUGGUCGACGGCAGUAACAUGCUAUACCAUCAUUCCAUAUGUCGUUCCUGGCGGUGCUGAUGCCAAUUACCCCGAGCCAUUAUGUCCGCUCCUAACCGUAAUCAUCCCUCCAUAAGUUAUGUGUCCUAUUAGAUCCAAGAAAUUGGUCAUUUUUUGGAGUAAAGAUGUGUAUCAGAUACGUGCGCAAUUGAAACCGCGCUCUCUCCUAAACAUGUGAUUUGCUAAAUGUUUAGAAUGAAUCGGUUGCGGAUCCGCAUAGCACCUUGUGAGCUGCACAUUUAGACUUUCUGUUUGAUUCUUUGUAGAAGCUCGCAGUUCAUCCUUGCUGAAGUUCACUGUACUCCAUUCCUCGGGUUGGUACCAGAUUUGCUAUUCAGUAUCUAGACCAUACUUUAAUUGUGACGUGUGUCAGAUUUUUGUACUUGGCCUGAUUUGGUGUAACGUAAAUAGGGGAUCAUGAUCAAGGAUGACUAAGUGUAUUAUUUAGUAGAUAAGUUCUCGAGUCCCACACCUUGUAUCAAGUACUUUAACUUCCCAGUCUUCGAAAAAAUAUUAGUCUGUAUUUAACAUAAUUUGAAAUAAUCACUUUUACGAAAAAAACAUAUGCAUACUUGUGUUGUUGUGUGAGAUCUACUUGGAAGUGCUAUAUGAUAAAAUAUAUGUAGCAUUAAUAAUAUCCUUCUGGUUUGUGGUCUGAUAUGUGCUAAUCAGUGCAGUAUUGCUUGUAGAUAGAUUUUUCAUGACUUCAAGCUGUGCCUCCCAACUCCAAGUAAAUUUUGAUAUUGUGUAAGUUCUAUAAGCUUGAAAUCCCAUGGAAAAUAGCGCUAUUCUUUUUCUAAGACAGUCAUAUGCCUACAUGAACCAGUAAAUUAUUGGAAUGUUUCUUAAAGAAGUACUCCUUUGUAAACUAAUAUAAGAUCUUUAUCUAUUAGUUUACAGAGGGAGUACAUCUUAAUUGGUUUAGUUCCAUGGCAGAGCAAAUCCUAUCUGACUCUUAUUUUGCAGAUAGUCGACCAAACACACCAUAUCGUGGGCUAGCAUAGCAUGGUCAGAGAUGAGACCGAGGGCUUGAAGUGGAGCCGGAGACUACGCGACCAAAUUAGAUUUUUGUGCAUUAUAUGGUGUCUUGGCAGAUUUAGAUUCCCCUUAAAAAAUGACGCCAUUGACUUUAUGUUGAACACUAUUUCGGCGUUACAAGGCAACAACCGCUAGACCAAAUUCUGUAAUUUAGCAUGUUCAGCGCAUUCAGGUUGUGAGUAUGUGUAUUUUAGUUCAAGGAUUAUGUGUGCUUGUGGACACUUGCAGUUUACAUUUUGUCAAAUUUUGCUCA